GUGCCGACCAAUCCGCUUCGCGUCUCACGUACUACGUAGCGUGGUGGGGAGGAGGGAAGGGGGCACUCUCUUCGACGUGGCAACCGUGCGCGCGUGCGCCUCUUGCAAACGCGUUCCCUCGGCUCGGUUCACGCGAAGUUGUCUCUCUGUCGGCACGUCGGCUCUUCGAGUGUCGCAACGUGCAACGUAUUUACGAUCUCCAAUGGUAGCGGUUCGAAUUUCUUAUUGGGUAGAUUUGGGGGGUAGAUUUGGGGUGGUGUCGCAAACCCCCCGGCACGCUUAUCCUUGCAAAAUGCAGGGGGUUCGAAUAUGAGCGAUGGACGACGCAUGGCUUUCAUGUGGAAUACGAAAAACGUUUGCGUACCAAAGACACCGGUUAGGAUCGAAAGAGGAAGUAACAUUUCGCAAAGGGAAAGCCGGAAGUUCAGUCGCAUGACUAGGAAGUUAGAUUUCUCACCGGUUUCAUGGUGGUGCAAUGUCAAGUCCUGAUUAAAAGGUCAAGUGUUAAGCAGAAAUCUCAUUCAUGAGACGGAUGGAUGAAGAAAGAUGACCGUGCAUAGGGUUAUCCGGAGCGUGGAAGAAGAGAAGCAAUGGUUGUAAACCGAGUCGAGACCGCCUGACCUCCCGGAGGCUGUCCGAUAACUUUUAACUGACUCCACAGAAAAAUCAACGGCCGUGUGUUAUCGCGCGGCCUGCCCGCGUCAAUCCGUGUUAUCUUCGUUGCAGAUACGUGGCAGCCAGAAACCAUCGCGGGUGGCGUGAAUCGAGUUGGCAGGUGCGAGUAGCAGUGUAUGGACCCGCGUCAUCCUGAAGAUAAUUCCGGAGGUUUGGAGGGGUCCUCUGUUUUGGCGCUCCAUUUGGUCCAUAAAUAUCACAAGGUUAACAGCGGCCUCCAGUCACAUUGUUUCUCGCGUGCCGAAAUCUUUUCAUACUUGACAGGACAAGCAAUUAUCCAAUAAUAAUUCCAACAAAUGAAUAACAUAAUUAUUACUACUUAUAUUACAUUACUUGUCAUAAUAAUAGGAAGCAUUAGUGUCACAUGUAAAAUUACGAAGAAAGCAAAAAAGA